GACGAACGCUGGCGGCGUGCUUAACACAUGCAAGUCGAACGGAAAGGCCCCUUUGGGGGUACUCGAGUGGCGAACGGGUGAGUAACACGUGAGUAACCUGCCCUUGACUUCGGGAUAACUUCAGGAAACUGGGGCUAAUACCGGAUAGGAAUCCUUGCUGCAUGGUGGGGGUUGGAAAGCUUCGGCGGUUUUGGAUGGACUCGCGGCUUAUCAGCUUGUUGGUGGGGUAGUGGCUUACCAAGGCUUUGACGGGUAGCCGGCCUGAGAGGGCGACCGGCCACAUUGGGACUGAGAGACGGCCCAGACUCCGACGGGAGGCAGCAGUGGGGAAUAUUGCACAAGGGGCGGAAGCCUGAUGCAGCAACGCCGCGGGCGGGAUGACGGCCUUCGGGUUGUAAACCGCUUUCAGCAGGGGCGAAGCUUGUGGUGACGGUACCUGCAGAAGAAGCACCGGCUAACUACGUG
rnacentral:rRNA from 1 species